AGUCGAACGAUACUUCCAGCUUGCUGGGAGGAAAGUGGCGCACGGGUGCGUAACGCGUAUACAACCUACCUUAAUCAGGGGGAUAGCCCGAAGAAAUUCGGAUUAAGACCGCAUAAAAUCACAGUACAGCACUGUACAAUGAUCAAAUAUUUAUAGGAUUAAGAUGGGCAUGCGUGACAUUAGCUAGUUGGCGGGGUAACGGCCCACCAAGGCUACGAUGUCUAGGGGAUCUGAGAGGAUGACCCCCCACACUGGUACUGAGACACGGACCAGACUCCUACGGGAGGCAGCAGUAAGGAAUAUUGGUCAAUGGAGGGAACUCUGAACCAGCCAUGCCGCGUGCAGGAAGACAGCCCUCUGGGUCGUAAACUGCUUUUAUUCGGGAAUAAACCACAUUACGUGUAAUGUGCUGAAUGUACCGAAGGAAUAAGGAUCGGCUAACUCCGUGCCAGCAGCCGCGGUAAUACGGAGGAUCCAAGCGUUAUCCGGAUUUAUUGGGUUUAAAGGGUGCGUAGGCGGCUUUUUAAGUCAGGGGUGAAAGACGGUAGCUCAACUAUCGCAGUGCCCUUGAUACUGAAGAGCUUGAAUGGACUAGAGGUAGGCGGAAUGUGACAAGUAGCGGUGAAAUACAUAGAUAUGUCACAGAACACCGAUUGCGAAGGCAGCUUACUAUGGUUUAAUUGACGCUGAGG
rnacentral:rRNA from 1 species